rnacentral:misc_RNA from 1 species
GAUGAAAACGCAGCGAAAUGCGAUAAGUAAUGUGAAUUGCAGAAUUCCGUGAAUCAUCGAAUCUUUGAACGCACAUUGCGCCCCCUGGCAUUCCGGGGGGCAUGCCUGUCCGAGCGUCAUUUCUGCCCUCAAGCACGGCUUGUGUGUUGGGUGUGGUCCCCCCGGGGACCUGCCCGAAAGGCAGCGGCGACGUCCGUCUGGUCCUCGAGCGUAUGGGGCUCUGUCACUCGCUCGGGAAGGACCUGCGGGGGUUGGUCACCACCAUGUUUUACCACGGUUGACCUCGGAUCAGGUAGGAGUUACCCGCUGAACUUAAGCAUAUCAAUAAGCGGAGGA